ACACACCAGAUACACAUCAUACACACAUACACCACAUGAACACCUCAAAUAGACCAUACGUAUCAAACACUCUCCAUACAUACACCACACAGUGCUACAUACUAUCUACACUACACAUACACACAUCACACAUGUCACACAAACACACCACAUACAUAUACUACAGAAACACAUGACACGAAACACACACACACCAGAACAGUUAGGGUAAGCACUCAGACUCGUGGAUGCCAGGGAACCCAGGUGUGCCAGGCUCUCCAAAGGAGAUGGUCACUAAGGACCCCAGUGUCAUCUUGGGAAUGCCCACACCAGGAUUCUGAAUGUGUAAGACACACUAGUGGGCAGACUCCAGACAGGGCAUUGGCCAAGGUGACACCAGUGACAGCCACUGUCUUAAUUUGGGUUUCCAUUGCUUUGAAGAGACAUCAUGACCAAGCCUCGUCUAUGGAGAAAGAUGUGGAGAUGAACCCACACAAGGGAGUUUCCAAGCUACAGGGAGAGCUCCUGGGGUACCCAGGAGAGCAUGUGCCCUUCUGCAAGGAGAGCCCUAUCUGCUCCAUCCUUGGGUUUAAACAGCUCCUGCACUGGCAAGGAAAAAUGAGCAUAUGGUAACUUUAAAAGGAGCCAAAUUAUAAACUUCAGAUACUAAACGCUCCAAGUUUUAAGGCUUGCUAAUCGUGCUGGACUUCCAUACUGUUUUCUUAUGUCUUGUAUCAUGCAGUAAUAAAAACAAUUCCACUGAGUUAAGGUUUGGAACA
rnacentral:lncRNA from 1 species